GAAAAAGUUACGAAGGGCGUAUGGGGGAUGCCUUGGCUUCCGGGAGCGAAGAAGGACGUGGUAAGCUGCGAAAAUCGCCGGGGAUUAGCAAACAUGAGUUGAUCCGGCGGACUCCGAAUGGGACAACCCACCAGGUUGAAGGCCUGGUACCACAGCAAUGUGGGGCAGACGCAGGGAACUGAAACAUCUUAGUACCUGCAGGAAAAGAAAGAAAAAUCGAUUCUCUGAGUAGUGGCGAUCGAAAGGAGAAGAGCCUAAACCGCUGUUGUUUUUGGCAAGAGCGGGGUUGCAGGACCCGAGGACAAACAAUACCAAAGAAGAGGAAGCUGCCUGGAAAGGCACACCGCAGGGCGUGAAAGUCGCGUACUUAUAGAUUGGUAAAGUUUAUUGGGUAUCCUAAGUAGGGCGGGACACGAGGAAUCC
rnacentral:rRNA from 1 species